rnacentral:rRNA from 1 species
GACGAACGCUGGCGGCGGGCUUAACACAUGCAAGUCGAACGGAAAGGCCCUGCUUGUGUGGGGUGCUCGAGUGGCGAACGGGUGAGUAACACGUGAGUAACCUGCCCUUGACUUUGGGAUAACUUCAGGAAACUGGGGCUAAUACCGGAUAGGAGCUCCUGCUGCAUGGUGGGGGUUGGAAAGUUUCGGCGGUUGGGGAUGGACUCGCGGCUUAUCAGCUUGUUGGUGGGGUAGUGGCUUACCAAGGCUUUGACGGGUAGCCGGCCUGAGAGGGUGACCGGCCACAUUGGGACUGAGAUACGGCCCAGACUCCUACGGGAGGCAGCAGUGGGGAAUAUUGCACAAUGGGCGGAAGCCUGAUGCAGCAACGCCGCGUGCGGGAUGCCGGCCUUCGGGUUGUAAACCGCUUUCGCCUGUGACGAAGCGUGAGUGACGGUAAUGGGUAAAGAAGCACCGGCUAACUACGUG